AUUGAACGCUAGCGGGAUGCUUUACACAUGCAAGUCGAACGGCAGCGCGGACUUCGGUCUGGCGGCGAGUGGCGAACGGGUGAGUAAUGUAUCGGAACGUGCCCAGUAGCGGGGGAUAACUACGCGAAAGCGUAGCUAAUACCGCAUACGCCCUACGGGGGAAAGCAGGGGAUCGUAAGACCUUGCACUAUUGGAGCGGCCGAUAUCGGAUUAGCUAGUUGGUGGGGUAACGGCUCACCAAGGCGACGAUCCGUAGCUGGUUUGAGAGGACGACCAGCCACACUGGGACUGAGACACGGCCCAGACUCCUACGGGAGGCAGCAGUGGGGAAUUUUGGACAAUGGGGGCAACCCUGAUCCAGCCAUCCCGCGUGUGCGAUGAAGGCCUUCGGGUUGUAAAGCACUUUUGGCAGGAAAGAAACGUCGCGGGCUAAUACCCCGUGGAACUGACGGUACCUGCAGAAUAAGCACCGGCUAACUACGUG
rnacentral:rRNA from 1 species